rnacentral:rRNA from 1 species
UAUCUCUGUAGAGUCUGCAUAUCAAUAAGCGGAGGAAAAGAAACUAACAAGGAUUCCCCUAGUAACGGCGAGUGAAGCGGGAAGAGCUCAAAUUUGAAAUCUUCAAGGUUUGACCUUGACGAAUUGUAGUUUAAAGAAGUGUUUUCGGUUAGAGGAGUAGUAAAAGUUCUUUGGAAUAGGACAUCAUAGAGGGUGAGAAUCCCGUAUUUGACUAUUCUUUCUAGCUUUGUGAUACACUUUCAAAGAGUCGGAUUGUUUGGGAAUGCAGUCCAAGAUGGGUGGUAAAUUUCAUCUAAAGCUAAAUAUUGGCGAGAGACCGAUAGCGAACAAGUACCGUGAGGGAAAGAUGAAAAGAACUUUGAAAAGAGAGUUAAACAGUACGUGAAAUUGUCAAAAGGGAAGCGUUUGACACCAGUGUUGUUUUUUCCGAAAAUCAAUUAAAAAUUGAUUCAUGCCAGGUUGUAUUGACCUUAUCAGCUUGCAAUUUGGUUUUGGGUCUCUUUUUGAUGCACUUUUCGGUUAACAAGUCAACAUCAAUUUCCUUUGCUGUAAAAAGGUAAGAGGAAGGUGGCUUCAAUUUCGGUUGAAGUGUUUAUAGCCUUUUAUCUCUGCAGUCGGGGAGAUUGAGGUCUGCAGCGUAGAUCCUUCGGGGCUAGAUACAUUUAUGCUAAGUUAUAGCUUUUCAUAGACAACUUGUUGACUAUGUUUAGUCAUGUAGCUUACUCGUAAGUGCUAUUUUACCUACGCUUAGGAUGUUGAAGACUCUACAGAGAUAG